GAUGAACGCUGGCGGCGUGCUUAACACAUGCAAGUCGAACGAAGCACUUUAUUUGAUUUCCUUCGGGACUGAUUAUUUUGUGACUGAGUGGCGGACGGGUGAGUAACGCGUGGGUAACCUGCCUUGUACAGGGGGAUAACAGUUGGAAACGGCUGCUAAUACCGCAUAAGCGCACGGCAUCGCAUGAUGCAGUGUGAAAAACUCCGGUGGUAUAAGAUGGACCCGCGUUGGAUUAGCUAGUUGGUGAGGUAACGGCCCACCAAGGCGACGAUCCAUAGCCGACCUGAGAGGGUGACCGGCCACAUUGGGACUGAGACACGGCCCAAACUCCUACGGGAGGCAGCAGUGGGGAAUAUUGUACAAUGGGCGAAAGCCUGAUGCAGCGACGCCGCGUGAGCGAAGAAGUAUUUCGGUAUGUAAAGCUCUAUCAGCAGGGAAGAUAA
rnacentral:rRNA from 1 species